rnacentral:rRNA from 1 species
CAGUCGCCACGGGAAUACGUAGGGGGCAAGCGUUAUCCGGAAUUACUGGGUGUAAAGGGAGCGUAGACGGUUAAACAAGUCUGAAGUGAAAUGCCGGGGCUCAACCCCGGAGCUGCUUUGGGAACUGUAGAACUGGAGUGUCGGAGGGGUAAGCGGAAUUCCCAGUGUAGCGGUGAAAUGCGUAGAAAUUAGGAAGAACACCAGUGGCGAAGGCGACUUUCUGGACGAAAACUGACGCUGAGGCGCGAAAGCCAGGGGAGCGAACGGGAUUAGAUACCCCGGUAGUCCCUGUCUCUUAUAC